UCUUCAGUGAGGUGUAUCCUUAUCUGUUCUUUCUCUGAGAGAAAAGAACAUGAUAAAUGGAGGAGCUUGAGAUGUGAUUAAGGUCUCCUUGGCCGAGGACCGGCGACAUCUCAGUCGGCUCCUUUCUGUU